AGGGUUCGAUUCUGGCUCAGAUUGAACGCUGGCGGCGUGCUUAACACAUGCAAGUCGCGCGUGAAAGGACUUCGGUCCGAGUAAAGCGGCGCACGGGUGGGUAACGCGUGGAUGAUCUACCCAUGAGUUAGGAAUAACGGCUGGAAACGGUCGCUAAUACCAAAUACGCUCCGAUUUCAACUUCGGGGGAAAGGUGGCCUCUGCUUGCAAGCUACUGCUCAUGGAUGAGUCCGCGUCCCAUUAGCUAGUUGGUGGGGUAACGGCCCACCAAGGCGACGAUGGGUAGCCGGUCUGAGAGGAUGACCGGCCACACUGGGACUGGAACACGGCCCAGACUCCUACGGGAGGCAGCAGUGGGGAAUAUUGCGCAAUGGGCGAAAGCCUGACGCAGCGACGCCGCGUGAGGGAUGAAGGUCCUCGGAUCGUAAACCUCUGUCAGGAGGGAAGAACCGCCACGGUGCUAAUCAGCCGUGGUCUGACGGUACCUCCAAAGGAAGCACCGGCUAACUCCGUGCCAGCAGCCGC
rnacentral:rRNA from 1 species